GUUGGAGGCGUGCGUGGCCACGCAGUCACAAACACAAACAACGUUAACACUGUUUUAACAUACAGCAUCACAAACACAAACACAGUUAACACUGUUUUAACAUACAGCAUCACAAACACAAUCACAGUUAACACUGUUUUAACAUACAGCAUCACAAACACAGUUAGCACUGUUUUAACAUACAGCAUCACAAACACAGUUAGCACUGUUUUAACAUACAGCAUCACAAACACCGUUAACACUGUUUUAACAUACACCAUCACAAACACAAACACAGUUAACACUGUUUUAACAUACACCAUCACAAACACAAACACAGUUAACACUGUUUUAACAUACACCAUCACAAACACAAACACAGUUAACACUGUUUUAAAAUACAGCAUCACAAACACAAACACCGUUAGCACUGUUUUAACAUACACCAUCACAAACACCGUUAACACUGUUUUAACAUACAGCAUCAGAAACACAAACACCGUUAGCACUGUUUUAACAUACAGCAUCACAAACACCGUUAACACUGUUUUAACAUACAGCAUCAGAAACACAAACACCGUUAGCACUGUUUUAACAUACAGCAUCACAAACACAAACACAGUUAACACUGUUUUAACAUACAGCAUCACAAACACAAACACAGUUAACACUGUUUUAACAUACACCGUCACAAACACAAACACAGUUAACACUGUUUUAACAUACAGCAUCACAAACACAGUUAACACUGUUUUAACAUACAGCAUCACAAACACAGUUAACACUGUUUUAACAUACAGCAUCACAAACACAGUUAACACUGUUUUAACAUACAGCAUCACAAACACAGUUAACACUGUUUUAACAUACAGCAUCACAAACACAGUUAACACUGUUUUAACAUACACCAUCACAAACACAAACAACGUUAACACUGUUUUAACAUACAGCAUCACAAACACAGUUAACACUGUUUUAACACACACCAUCACAAACACAAACAACGUUAACACUGUUUUAACAUACAGCAUCACAAACACAAACACAGUUUACACUGUUUUAACAUACAGCAUCACAAACACAAACACAGUUAGCACUGUUUUAACAUACAGCAUGACAAACACAGUUAGCACUGUUUUAACAUACAGCAUCACAAACACCGUUAACACUGUUUUAACAUACACCAUCACAAACACAAACACAGUUAACACUGUUUUAACAUACACCAUCACAAACACAGUUAACACUGUUUUAACAUACACCAUCACAAACACAAACACUGUUAACACUGUUUUAACAUACACCAUCACAAACACAAACACCGUUAACACUGUUUUAACAUACAGCAUCACAAACACAAACACAGUUAACACUGUUUUAACAUACACCAUCACAAACACAAACACAGUUAACACUGUUUUAACAUACACCAUCACAAACACAAACACCGUUAACACUGUUUUAACAUAUAGCAUCACAAACACAAACACAGUUAACACUGUUUUAACAUACACCAUCACAAACACAGUUAACACUGUUUUAACAUACAGCAUCGCAAACACAGUUAACACUGUUUUAACAUACAGCAUCACAAACACAAACACAGUUAACACUGUUUUAACAUACAGCAUCACAAACACAGUUAACACUGUUUUAACAUACAGCAUCACAAACACAAACACCGUUAACACUGUUUUAACAUACAGCAUCACAAACACAAACACCGUUAACACUGUUUUAACAUACACCAUCACAUACACUGUUAACACUGUUUUAACAUACACCGUCACAAACACAGUUAACACUGUUGAACAUACACCAUCACAAACACAAACACAGUUAACACUGUUUUAA
rnacentral:lncRNA from 1 species